rnacentral:misc_RNA from 1 species
AACCUUAUGGACCUGCGGGCGUAUACCUGCGGAAGGAUCAUUACCGAGUUUUCAACUCCCUAACCCUUCUGUGAACCUACCUAUCGUUGCUUCGGCGGACUCGCCCCAGCCCGGACGCGGACUGGACCAGCGGCCCGCCGGGGACCUCAAACUCUUGUAUUCCAGCAUCUUCUGAAUACGCCGCAAGGCAAAACAAAUGAAUCAAAACUUUCAACAACGGAUCUCAGAUCGGAAGAGCAC